GACGAACGCUGGCGGCGUGCCUAAUACAUGCAAGUAGAACGCUGAAGGAGGAGCUUGCUCUUCUUGGAUGAGUUGCGAACGGGUGAGUAACGCGUAGGUAACCUGCCUGGUAGCGGGGGAUAACUAUUGGAAACGAUAGCUAAUACCGCAUAAUAGUAGAUGUUGCAUGACAUUUGCUUAAAAGGUGCAAUUGCAUCACUACCAGAUGGACCUGCGUUGUAUUAGCUAGUUGGUGAGGUAACGGCUCACCAAGGCAACGAUACAUAGCCGACCUGAGAGGGUGAUCGGCCACACUGGGACUGAGACACGGCCCAGACUCCUACGGGAGGCAGCAGUAGGGAAUCUUCGGCAAUGGACGGAAGUCUGACCGAGCAACGCCGCGUGAGUGAAGAAGGGUUUCGGAUCGUAAAGCUCUGUUGUAAGAGAAGAACGAGUGUGAGAGUGGAAAGUUCACACUGUGACGGUAGCUUACCAGAAAGGGACGGCUAACUACGUG
rnacentral:rRNA from 1 species